rnacentral:rRNA from 1 species
CCUACGGGAGGCAGCAGUGGGGAAUAUUGCACAAUGGGGGAAACCCUGAUGCAGCGACGCCGCGUGAGUGAAGAAGUAAUUCGUUAUGUAAAGCUCUAUCAGCAGGGAAGAAAAUGACGGUACCUGAGUAAGAAGCCCCGGCUAACUACGUGCCAGCAGCCGCGGUAAUACGUAGGGGGCAAGCGUUAUCCGGAUUUACUGGGUGUAAAGGGAGCGUAGACGGCAGUGCAAGUCUGGAGUGAAAGGCGGGGGCUCAACCCCCGGACUGCUCUGGAAACUGUACGGCUGGAGUGCAGGAGAGGUAAGUGGAAUGCCUAGUGUAGCGGUGAAAUGCGGAGAUAUUAGGAGGAACAGCAGUGGCGAAGGCGGCUUACUGGACUGUAACUGACGUUGAGGCUCGAAAGCGUGGGGAGCAAACAGGAUUAGAUACCCGUGUAGUC